rnacentral:lncRNA from 1 species
GAUGGACACCACCCACCUUUUAUAGCGUUCCGAUUGCUCGUCGUCACUCGCAAUCGGCCUCCUGCGGCGCACGCCGCACGGCUCGACCCAACUCAAGCGCGACUGCCAAAUGACCUCCUAUCCGCGAUCCGUCUGUUCUGGAGUUUAUUCCCCGACACCACGAUGCUACAAUUCCAUUUCCAUGAUUUUUGGAAGCUUUCGCCGCGAGCUACGGCAAUCUGUACCUUAACGGCUUCGAUCCUCAAUAUCUCCGCGUACACUUGUCGGAUCGCCGAACCGAGCGCACCGUUGCGUUCGUAAACCUACCAAU